UUGUUUGGUUGGUCGGAUCCCUGCUUGUGCAGCGACGGCCACUCUGUUCAUCCCUUUUCAUUGUUGCUCCAAGAGCAAUGCGCCUUGGACUAACUCGGGUGCCUGUGUUGUAUACCUACGUUGAUGGAAUUCGGUCGUCCAAUCGCCCCUUAUUCACCUUGCGCUGCCCACGCGGCGUGGGAUGAACCAUGUAGUGUCCUUUGUUGUCCAUUCGUGCCUCGCAUUCACGCGUCGCAUGAGAUGGCCAACGCUGCGGCACUUGAAUUCUCGGAUACGGAACCUUAAGCAGGCAAUGGGUCUUUGGCCUUGAUUUGCCCAAAGUAAGCGUUCACGCUUCUUACGAACGACUGUCGCGCCCGUUUUGACCCGAGGAUACUUUUGGUC
rnacentral:misc_RNA from 1 species